rnacentral:rRNA from 1 species
UGGGGAAUAUUGCACAAUGGGCGCAAGCCUGAUGCAGCGACGCCGCGUGAGGGAUGACGGCCUUCGGGUUGUAAACCUCUUUCAAUAGGGACGAAGCGCAAGUGACGGUACCUAUAGAAGAAGCACCGCCAACUACGUG